AAAGACAACAAAUCUCAAAAGGGUGGUGGUGGUGGGAAUAAGGAACAACCUAAGGGAGGUGGGGGUGCACAACAGUUUCUUCAGAUGAUGCAAAACCUCAAAGGCUCAAAAGAUAAUUUUAAGAUGCCUAAUAUGCCUAAUGCAAAGGACCAAAAAUCUGUGAAGUUUAAUUUGCCGGAGGAUGAUUUUGAUGAUGAGUUUGAUGAUGAUUUUGAUGAUGAUGAAGAUGAGUUUGACGAUUAUUCUGAUGAUGAUUUUGAUGGCCGCCCAGCGGGCAAAAUGAUGCCAGCUAUGCGGACAACUUCAAAGGUGGAAAAGACAACAAAUCUCAAAAGGGCGGCAGCGGCGGCGGGAAUAAGGAACAGCCAAAGGGGGGUGGGGGUGCACAACAGUUUCUUCAGAUGAUGCAAAACCUCAAAGGCUCAAAAGAUAAUUUCAAGAUGCCUAAUGCAAAGGACCAGAAAUCUGUGAAGUUCAAUUUGCCUGAGGAUGAUUUUGAUGAUGAGUUUGAUGAUGAUUUUGACGAUGAUGAAGAUGAGUUUGAUGAUGAUUCUGAUGAUGGUUUCGAUGGCCGCCCGGUGAUGCCUGCUAUGGGGGGUGGUCAUGGACCCCAUGGGAUUAAUGCAAUGAUGAAUGCAAGUAUGAAGGGUGGGGAUAUGAAUAAUAAUGGUGGAAAUGGCAAGAAAGGUGGUGGUGGUGGGGUUGAAAUCCCUGUACAAAUGAAGGGUAUGGGUGGAAAUCAUCAUGAUGGUAAGAACAAUAAUGGAGGAAAACAGGGAAAGGGAGGGAAUCAGAAUCAAAGUGGUGGUAAAAAUGGCGGCAAAAAUGGAGCUGGUGGGGGUCUACUAGAUGGUAAAAAUGGAGGGGUAAAUGGUAAAGGUAACAAUAAUGGAGGUUUUGGAGGGAAGAAUGGUGGGGGAGGGAAGAUGGAUGGAGGCUUAAUGAUGAAUAGUAU
rnacentral:lncRNA from 1 species